rnacentral:rRNA from 1 species
UAGGGAAUCUUCGGCAAUGGACGGAAGUCUGACCGAGCAACGCCGCGUGAGUGAAGAAGGUUUUCGGAUCGUAAAGCACUGUUGUUAGAGAAGAACGUUGGUAGGAGUGGAAAAUCUACCAAGUGACGGUAACUAACCAGAAAGGGACGGCUAACUACGAGCCAGCAGCCGCGGUAAUAAGUAGGUCCCGAGCGUUGUCCGGAUUUAUUGGGCGUAAAGCGAGGGCAGGCGGUUCUUUAAGUCUGAAGUUAAAGGCAGUGACUUAACCAUUGUACGCUUUGGAAACUGGAUGGCUUGCGUGCAGAAGGGGAGAAUUGAAUUCCAUGUGUGGCGGUUAAAUGCGUAGAUAUAUGGAGGAACACCGGUGGCGAAAGCGGCUCUCUGGUCUGUAACUGACGCGGAGGCUCGAAAGCGUAGGGAGCAAACAUG